GACGAACGCUGGCGGCGUGCUUAACACAUGCAAGUCGAACGGAAAGGCCCUGCUUUUGUGGGGUGCUCGAGUGGCGAACGGGUGAGUAACACGUGAGUAACCUGCCCUUGACUUUGGGAUAACUUCAGGAAACUGGGGCUAAUACCGGAUAGGAGCUCCUGCUGCAUGGUGGGGGUUGGAAAGUUUCGGCGGUUGGGGAUGGACUCGCGGCUUAUCAGCUUGUUUGUGGGGUAGUGGCUUACCAAGGCUUUGACGGGUAGCCGGCCUGAGAGGGUGACCGGCCACAUUGGGACUGAGAUACGGCCCAGACUCCUACGGGAGGCAGCAGUGGGGAAUAUUGCACAAUGGGCGGAAGCCUGAUGCAGCAACGCCGCGUGCGGGAUGGCGGCCUUCGGGUUGUAAACCGCUUUCGCCUGUGACGAAGCGUGAGUGACGGUAAUGGGUAAAGAAGCACCGGCUAACUACGUG
rnacentral:rRNA from 1 species